UCCCCAUCUGCCACCCACCUCUCGCCCCCACCUCUAGCCCCCACCAGAGUGGCCCACAGUAUAUCCCAAUAGGCUUACAACUCCACCAGGGUGGGACUUCUGCUAGCCAAGGAGUUCUAAGGGUGCUUGCCUCUCCCAGUUCUGCUUCCCAACCGUCCCAUGCACAAAGUCUCCAAAUAGCCCUGUGAGGGAGGGUUGGUAGAAAGAAAUAGAUUUAUUCUCAUGUACAAAGCGGUCAGCCCACAGGACCACAUACAAUAGGUGCACAGAGUCCUAGAAAAACUCAUCUCUCUAAAGGCAACUCAGAGUAGGUAAGGCAGGCGGCCCCUCCCUGCCCACAACACACACAACACAGAAGGAGAAGCCGGUGGAUCUGGCCUUGAAGAGGAGAGAAGCCCUGCUAGGGCCAGGCCAGGUCCCUCUCUGGCUGCAGGAAUGGGAGAGGAGCUCAGGCCACAGGGUACACUCAGGGGACACUGAAGGACUCGGAUUGGGCUCUCUGUGCUUUGGGGUGGCAGAGACAGCUUGCCCAGGGUCACACAGCCAGGAGGAAACAUUGCCAACACACCUAGGUCUGUCCCCUAGCAUGGGGAUCCUUCCUGCCUGCCAUUCCCAUCUGCCUUCUGCCUGAGCCCCCUCUCUCCCGAGCACUGAGCUGCCCCUCCGGGGCCAUCGCAUGCCCCAAUCCCAGCCCAGAAGUAUAGGGGUGGUCUUCAGGGGCACCUUUGCCCCAUAGCUAUUGUAGUCCUCCAGCAGAACUAGUGACUGUUUCCCCACCCUCUGCUCAUGCACAUGUCCCACCUUCCCCUUCUGUGAGGAUCCUGGACACCCCAGGGGACAGGGCACCCCAGGGAAAGGGCACAGAUCUGGUAUGGCAGGAAGGGAACAAAAAAAGAACCCUUCUGACUGCUCAGAGAAAGCGUGGCUUGAGGAGGACUUGCCAGGAUGUGGUCAGAGGUGCAGAGCAGGGCCCACUGCCACCCCUGGACUCUUGGAGGACAAACAACAAAGUCUUGGCAAGCUGGAAGUCUUGCUUCUAUUCCCUAGAUAGGAAAGCUGAGGCCCAGGAAGGUCAGGAUGUGCCCAGGGUCACAUGGGACAUCCUGGGCGUAGAGCCCACGGCUGUGGUUCCCAGUGAGUUGGGCCAGACUGGUGGAGGGUUGUGGGAAGAGAAGGGCAGGGAGGGUUCCUGGAGGGGGUCACUCAGCAUCAAGACUGCAGCAGCCAUUGAUGGGGCCCCUGGUGCCACCCAGCUCAGGCACCUCGUACUCCCUCAUCCAAGAAGUCCAGUGAGUUGUUGCUCGGGAGGCCGCGGAUGGUGAAUUUGUGGGACACCUUGGUCCAGUGCUCACGGUUGGAGGCCACACGCUCAUACAGUUCUGCUGCCUUGGGAAACAGGUCUUGCAGCAGCCUGGGGGGUGCACAGGCAAGGUGAGAGGUCAGAAAUCGGAGUGUGGACAGCAAGAAAGAGGAGGGCUGCACCACAGGUAGAACUUCCACAAGAGUUGGAGCUAUGGGACUGGCACAGGAAAGCAUGGUGGUUCUCUCUACUGGGGGCCACCAAGGAUGAAGUGAAGAACCCAGCCAGGCACAAAGCAGGAG
ensembl:lncRNA